rnacentral:rRNA from 1 species
UACGUAGGGUGCGAGCGUUAAUCGGAAUUACUGGGCGUAAAGCGUGCGCAGGCGGUUUUUUAAGCCCGAUGUGAAAUCCCCGGGCUUAACCUGGGAAUGGCAUUUGGGACUGCAAGGCUGGAGUGCGGCAGAGGAGACUGGAAUUCCUGGUGUAGCAGUGAAAUGCGUAGAUAUCAGGAGGAACACCGAUGGCGAAGGCAGGUCUCUGGGCUGACACUGACGCUCAUGCACGAAAGCGUGGGGAGCAAACAGG